rnacentral:misc_RNA from 1 species
ACAAUCCCACAACCCAAGAAGCCACAAGAAAGCAGCAGCAGCACCGCACGGACCUGACCUCCAACUACAAGCGACGAUCCAGGCUCCAGAGCCCCACGCAAGGCCGGAAGGAGACAGGCAGCAGCCCGGCAGAGCAGCUAAGCCAUGGCGGUGGACCUCAUGUCCUGCGGCGGCGGGGCGUACGAGCAACUGGCGUUCCAGGAGUCGCCGCCGCUCGGGCAGAUCGCCGACCAGGCGGUGUCCCGGUUCCGGCGCGUCAUCAACCUGCUGGACCGCACGGGGCACGCCCGCUUCCGCCGCGCGCCCGCCGUCGCCGCGGUGGAGCCCAUAGAGACGGAGACGCCAGCGUCACAGCAGGCGGCGGCGGAGCCGCCUCAUCAGGCUCAGAACAAAGCCCUGACGCUGGACUUCGCCAAGUCUGUCCCGCCGGCAGCGAACAAGAAGGCCCCGCGGGCGCCGGCCGUGUCCGCGACUUCGACCUCGUUCCUGUCGUCCGUGACCGCGGGCGGCGAAGGGAGCGUGUCCAAGGGGUGCAGCCUCGCCGCCGUGUCCUCGGGCAAGCCGCCUCUCCCGAAGCGCACGUCGCCGUGCCCCGCCGCUGCUCCGCCGGGGGCGCACCACGCCGAGUCCGGCGCUGGAGGUUGCCACUGCUCGAAGAAGAAGCGCAGCCGGCAGGGCCUGUCCCGGCGCACGGUGCGCCUACCCGCGGCCGCGGCAACGCCGGGGUCGCAGCCGCCCGGCCACGUGCCGGCGUCGUCGGACGUACCCCACGACGAGUACUCGUGGCGCAAGUACGGGCAGAAGCCCAUCAAGGGGUCCCCUUACCCGCGCGGCUACUACCGGUGCAGCAGCGCCAAGGGUUGCCCCGCGCGGAAGCACGUGGAGCGCGCCGCCGACGACCCGGCCGUGCUCGUCGUCACCUACGAGGGCGACCACCGCCACGACGGCGACGGCGACGGCGACGGCGGCGUUGGCGCUGGCGCUGCCCGCUCCCGCGCGGCGUGAAGAUCGUUUGCUUCCCGCCGUAGCAGUCAGUGUAGCAGCGGUAGUCAAGUCAAUCGAUACUAGUAGUAGACCUCUUGUUUCAUUUGUUCUUCGGAUUAGUGGUAGAUCGAGCUUUGCUCCUGUAAAAGGAAUUAAAGAGCAUUUAAACUUAAUCUCGCCAUGAACUUUCUCCAAAUCUACGUAUUAUUUUAUCUUCUAUGC